UCACAGAGCACACGAGGCUUCACAGUGGC
rnacentral:piRNA from 1 species